UGUUAAGUGCGCCAAGGUCUCCCUGAGCU
rnacentral:piRNA from 1 species